ensembl:lncRNA
GUCGCCUUCCCUUCUCAGAGUAGGCGGUCCUGGCGGGAGUGCACCAAUCACAACGCCUCUUCUUCCCGCCCGUGGGGAUUGGUCCAGGGCUCACGUGAGUCGGCUGAGAGUCAUGUGAUGGCGCUGCCCCAGAGUCUGUAAUGAAGCCGGUGGCUUGCGGUAAAACCCGGAUUUGAAGAAGCCGCGAGCUUCCAGAGGGCAGGGCGCGUUCGGUCCCUUGCCUAGGAAAGGACCCGACGAAUGUGUCACGCGACUUCCCCUCGGACGCAGAGACGCUCCAAACGCUAUUCAGGGUUGGGUCGCUGAGCCCGGCAGAGCCCCUGCCUAGGCUGCCUUCGGCCCUGUCGUACCUGGGGGGAGGGUAGGCCCGUGUCCGCUCGGUGUGGCCGCCUUGUUACCUCUGCGACAGCGGUGAGGGCUCACAGGUGACUGCGGGGCCCCAGCCGAGGAGAGACGGUGGGGACGCACAGCCUGGAAGUGGGGAAUCGGGUGGACCAGCACCUUCUGAAGCCAGGUGGAGCCCACUUCCGUGCACAGCGAGUCACUGUUUCCUACGCAAGCUUUGGUGGCCCUGGACGACCACCCCUGUGCGUCCCAGGCUCCCAUGCCCCGUCGGCAGAAAUGCCAGGCCCCUUAAGCUUCUUGCACCAGAGCCAGCAAAAGAAGUGCAGGAGAGAGGAAUCAGGAAGCCAUAAGCGUGGGAGGAAGAGAAAUGGGCCCGGGCCUAAAAAGAAAUGGCUGUCCACAUUAGAUAAAAGAGGCAGAAAUCCCUGCCUUCACAGAACCUGCCUUUAGUGUCUGGAGAUGAGAAGCAAGAUGAAUAAAACCCACUCUUGGGCCAAGGAGGUAGAUCAGUGGUAGGGCACUUGCCUGAUAUUCGCAGGGCCCUGGGUUCAAUCUCUAGUGCCAAGGAAAUCAAAACAAAAACCCUGUAAUAUCUUGGAACGUAGUGGUACAGAGAAAAACUAAACCUAGGGACCUGUAGGAAGGGUGUGAGGAUGGGUGUCCUUUAUGUAGGGCCUUCUUAUGGGGCUGGGGAUGGAGGUCAGUCGUACAGUGUCUGCCUAGCAAGUACGAGACCCUAGGCUCGAUCCCAGUACUGCCAAAAAAAGAACAGAGGUGAGGGACAGUACUGCCAGCAGAGGGCGUGGCAGGUGCCCAGGGCCCUGGGCUGGGAAAGACCUGCAGGGCAGUGAGCGUGGGCGAUGCUAGCGGGUUGCCACCAAAGGAGGCCAUGGCAGGGUCCGCAAAGGGGCGUGGUCAGCCCUACUUGGUAACCGGCACCGUGUGCUGUUGGCCAGAGCACUGAGGACAGUGAGUGGACCACUUCGAUCAUGCACUUAGGAGGUGAGGGUAACCUGAACCCCAGUGGUGGCCGUGCAGAGAGAAGCAGUCAGAUCGCAGAGGCAUCCUGAAGGGAGGAUUACAGAGCUGUCUGGUUGGCUGGAAGCCUGUCUUCCCCUUCGUAGGGUCACCUCCACCUCAUUUCCGCUUCAAGCAUCCAGUCCACAGAGGGACAAGAGCUCAAUCUCAGCCCAUCUGGGAUCCCCUGCAGUGGCUGCUGCCAUGUCAUGGGGGGUGGGGAAUCUGGUCCCCUGUACUCCUGUCACCUAUGCUGGCACCCGCAGAGUCUGACCUCAGCACACACAGCAUGUCCUGCUGAAAUGGCACUGGAGGGCAGGCAGACCAAGGAAGAGAGCGGCACUCAGAGAACUGAAGGCUUCACAUCUGUCUGAGCCCGCUUUGGAGGCAAGCAACUACCCCGCUGCUCUGAAAUUGCCAGGUGGUCUCCUCGCCAACAGCCCCCGGACACCCCCCAGCCUCCCCUCCGCCACCUUUGUCUAGGUCAGGCAGCAGCUGGCAGCCAGCUCCUUGCCUUGAUGCUGCCCUCCACAGCCUGGGGGAGCCUGGCUCGACACAGCCCCUCAUCCCUCCAUGUUUUGUAAGGCUCAGCUCUUGGAGCUUAGAGGCUACCACACAGCGCUGUGCUGAGCGGGCACUGUCCGCAGACCUCAAGCCCCACAGGCUCUGCCACUAAAGCACUGGCACCAGACGGCUCUUCAGAUUUGUGCCUGGCCCCAGCCCCAGAGUCACAGCCUCGGAGGCAGGGGAGCCCUGCAGUGAGGACCUCGGUGGCCCCAAGCUCAUCUGCCCUCAGCAGCCGGUUUCCAGUGCAGGCCGCACCAGCUAGACACCAGGCCAUGAUUUCACAUGGGGAACAGAGUGCAGAGAAGUCAAAUAGUACUGGAGAUCGAACUCAGGACCUUGCACAUGUGAGCAGAAGCCCAAGGGCAAUCAAGGCUCUGCACGGCCCAGCUCCGGCGACCACAGCAAAGCUCCAGCCCGCCCUUCAGGAAGAUGCAGCGGCCCAAACAGUGCCCCCUCCAGUCAGGGCCGCUGAACCAGAGCUGCGGGGUCUCCGCAGGGCGACCUCGCCUGCACCCCGAGGCAGUGACCUUUGUGUUCUGCCAGGUGGGGGCUGGAGUUUGCAGCACUCGGUUCUGCCACUUAGGGUGCAAACAUGGCAUCGGAACCUCCGCCUGGCCGCGACACGUGGCGUGCGAAGAGGACACAGGGCAGAACGCAGCGGCGAAGGAGGCCGGAUCCACCCAAAAGUGCGGGACUCAGGUAGAGCUGGCACCCCUGAGGGCGUGGUCUUGAGGCCACAGUGAAAUCCUGCUGUCCACACCUGUGGUUCCGCAGCCACCACCAGAGACCCCUGGGCUGAGGCUGAGUUUGCAGCCCCUCUCAUUCCGCGAGACCGCAGUAGAGAAGGAAGUGCAGGGCACACCUCCAGGCACCGCCAUUGGCACUAGAGCGCUCACAGAGGUACUGGCAAGUUCUCUUCUCUGUCCCCCUCAGACACAGCUUUGGCCCUUCUUUUUAUGAAGAACACAAUGAGUAACACACACACACAUGCACACACGAGCACGUGUGUGUGUAGUAGGGGGACUGAACCCAGGGCCUGUGCACUAAGCUGCCUCAGACUCCUAGCGUGUGGGGUUAGAGGUGUGUGGCACCACACCUGGCACAUCUGUCACUCUAAUCUGUCUGAAGUGGUCGACCCGACGGCCCCAGGAAGUCUUGGGCGGCUCCAUCUCCUGGCAGAGGGAGCCCUGUCUUCCGCCUUUACACAGCGAGGACUCGGCAUGGUGGGAGGGCCUGGUGGAGGAGAGCUGCUCACAUCUUGGUGACCAGGAAGCAGAGAAGGGAGCACUGGGACAGCGUCACCACUCUCCUAGGGCUGCCACAGCAGAGGACCGUGAACUCUGUGGCUGAGACUCGGGGAGCAGCCUCUCCCCAGCCUCCUCCUAGCUGCCAGGAAUCCGGGGGCGAGACAGAACCUUCUGGACCCAAGAGAGAGCCUGCCCUGUGCCUCUCCUUAUGGGCACCUGAUGGCUCCUGGCCACAUGUGGCCUCCUUGGCUGGUGGACGCAUUUCCCCUGUCUCUGUCUGUUGUCACAAGGCCUUCUUCCCGUGGACAUUUAUGUGUCUGGGUCCAGAUUUCCCUCUUCUUUUUGGUGUUUUGAGGCAGGUCUCACCAUGUAGGCCAGGCUGGCCUUGAACUCACAGAGAUCCUAUUGGAUUUAGGGCUCAUCCUAAUUCAGAGUGGUCUCAACUCGGUUUCAUCCACAAAGACUUAAUUUCCCAAUAAGGCCACAUUCACAGACCUGGCAGGCCUUCAGCAUGUUUUGAGGGAAGAAAAUUCGUUUCAUGGUGUCUUCCCAAAAGAGUUAGAGACAUCAUGUUACAGUGACCCAAGGACACGGUGUUUAUAGCAGCACGACUCAUCAUAGCUAAAUCUUGGAAGCAGUCUAUAAGCUCAUCAACGGAUGAAGAAAAUGUGGUAUUUACAGACAAUGGAGUACUACUCUGCCAUAAAGAAGGAUAGACGAGUCAUUUGUAGGACAAUGGGUGCAUCUUGAGACUGGAAUGUUGUGACACAAGUCAGACACACAUGGCUGACUAAAUAUCACAUGGCUUCUCUUAUAUAAGAAACCCAGAGUAAAAAUAAAGACCAAAUAAAAAACAUGAAAGAAAGGAAGCAGGUCUUUCUCAGAGGGAAAGGGCUUCAAGAGGUGGAGGAGGAGGGAGGGAAGGGAUAAGGACCACCAAGGAACGGAAACGUUAUUUGCUACAAACACGGACCCAAAAAGGGAGAGGAGGAAGGGGUGGGGGGAGGGAAGGGAAGGAGGUGAAGAAGAAAUGCCCGUAGGAAACAUGUACUAAUUAACAUUUAAAAACCAAUCCGUCGGUCAGUAAAAGGGCACAGACAGGUACCGGGAGUGGCCACACUACUAUCAUUGACAGCAAGUGCCUCCACGAGAAGUGGAGACAGUGACCUGCGGCCAAGCUCCAGCUUGCAGCGGU